rnacentral:rRNA from 1 species
UUCUGUGUCUGUUUUCUUUUCCUUUUUUACUCGGCCCCCCCCUCCUGAGUAGCUGUACAG